UAGGAAGGCAAAUCAUCUAAUCAAUAGGAAAAGAGGUGGUGGAGAGUUAGUAAAUUUUAAGGUUGCUGAUUUGGGGUAGGCGAUCAACAGCGAGCAUCAGACUAUUCAAAGGCCCUUUAUUCUGCUACAGUCAGUUUUCAAUAGUGUCUCUUUUAUUUCAGUCUUUAGAAAAAUCUAGCGGCAUGUAAAGCACUAAAAUUUUUUAUUAAGUCAAAAUGUUAUGAACUAAAUAUUUGGAACAAUAGUUUAUUUUCAAAGUCAGAAUAUUUUUUAUGAUAUGUAAUGAAUAUCUUAAAUGCUUUCAAUUAAAAAGGAACUGAUUUAUUAUC